GAGCUCUGUUCUGAUACUAGUAUUCUUUCUCUAGCUCUAGGCUCUAGCUAUUACUCAUUUUUGCUCUGUUUUCUGAUAUGGCUAAGCUUUUCAAUUUAGUUUUCUUUUUUCUUGAUUCUUGCUGGGAUCUUGAUGGUUCAAGCUGCGGAUUAUGACCAAUCUGAGCCAAACCCAUCUCAGGUUAAGGUUCAAAGUGGGGUGC
rnacentral:misc_RNA from 1 species